GACGAACGCUGGCGGCGUGCUUAACACAUGCAAGUCGAACGGAAAGGCCCUGCUUUUGUGGGGUGCUCGAGUGGCGAACGGGUGAGUAACACGUGAGUAACCUGCCCUUGACUUUGGGAUAACUUCAGGAAACUGGGGCUAAUACCGGAUAGGAGCUCCUGCUGCAUGGUGGGGGUUGGAAAGUUUCGGCGGUUGGGGAUGGACUCGCGGCUUAUCAGCUUGUUGGUGGGGUAGUGGCUUACCAAGGCUUUGACGGGUAGCCGGCCUGAGAGGGUGACCGGCGACAUUGGGACUGGAAUACUGCCCAGACUCCUACGGGAGGCAGCAGUGGGGAAUAUUGCACAAUGGGCGGAAGCCUGAUGCAGCAACGCCGCGUGCGGGAUGUCGGCCUUCGGGUUGUAAACCGCUUUCGCCUGUGACGAAGUGUGAGUGACGGUAAUGGGUAAAGAAGCACCGGCUAACUACGUG
rnacentral:rRNA from 1 species